AGCGUUGUUCGGAAUUACUGGGCGUAAAGGGCUCGUAGGCGGCCAACUAAGUCAGACGUGAAAUCCCUCGGCUUAACCGGGGAACUGCGUCUGAUACUGGAUGGCUUGAGUGUGGGAGAGGGAUGCGGAAUUCCAGGUGUAGCGGUGAAAUGCGUAGAUAUCUGGAGGAACACCGGUGGCGAAGGCGGCAUCCUGGACCACGACUGACGCUGAGGAGCGAAAGCCAGGGGAGCAAACGGG
rnacentral:rRNA from 1 species